UACGUAGGGUGCGAGCGUUGUCCGGAAUUAUUGGGCGUAAAGAGCUCGUAGGCGGCCACCGCAAGUCGACUGUGAAAUCUCCGGGCUUAACCCGGAAAGGUCAGCCGAUACUGCGGGGCUAGAGUGCAGAAGGGGCAACUGGAAUUCUCGGUGUAGCGGUGAAAUGCGUAGAUAUCGAGAGGAACACCUGCGGCGAAGGCGGGUUGCUGGGCUGACACUGACGCUGAGGCGCGAAAGCUAGGGGAGCGAACGGG
rnacentral:rRNA from 1 species